rnacentral:rRNA from 1 species
UACACGACCGUACCGCAAACCGACACUGGUGCGCGAGAUGAGUAUUCUAAGGCGCUUGAGAGAACUCAGGAGAAGGAACUCGGCAAAUUGACACCGUAACUUCGGAAGAAGGUGUGCCUUUAGUAAGUGAGGUCCCUCGCGGAUGGAGCUGAGAAAGGUUGCAAAAAAUCGGUGGCUGCGACUGUUUAUUAAAAACACAGCACUCUGCAAACACGAAAGUGGACGUAUAGGGUGUGACGCCUGCCCGGUGCUGGAAGAUUAAAUGAUGGGGUGCAAGCUCUUGAUUGAAGUCCCAGUGAACGGCGGCCGUAACUAUAACGGUCCUAAGGUAGCGAAAUUCCUUGUCGGGUAAGUUCCGACCUGCACGAAUGGCGUAACGAUGGCCACACUGUCUCCUCCUGAGACUCAGCGAAGUUGAAAUGUUUGUGAUGAUGCAAUCUCCCCGCGGAAAGACGGAAAGACCCCAUGAACCUUUACUGUAGCUUUGUAUUGGACUUUGAACAGAUCUGUGUAGGAUAGGUGGGAGGCUUUGAAGCAGGGUCGCUAGAUCUUGUGGAGCCAACGUUGAAAUACCACCCUGGUGUGUUUGAGGUUCUAACCUAGGUCCAUUAUCUGGAUCGGGGACAGUGCAUGGUAGGCAGUUUGACUGGGGCGGUCUCCUCCCAAAGCGUAACGGAGGAGUUCGAAGGUACGCUAGUUACGGUCGGACAUCGUGACGAUAGUGCAAUGGCAUAAGCGUGCUUAACUGCGAGACUGACAAGUCGAGCAGAUGCGAAAGCAGGACAUAGUGAUCCGGUGGUUCUGUAUGGAAGGGCCAUCGCUCAACGGAUAAAAGGUACUCUGGGGAUAACAGGCUGAUACCGCCCAAGAGUUCAUAUCGACGGCGGUGUUUGGCACCUCGAUGUCGGCUCAUCUCAUCCUGGGGCUGUAGCCGGUCCCAAGGGUAUGGCUGUUCGCCAUUUAAAGAGGUACGUGAGCUGGGUUUAAAACGUCGUGAGACAGUUUGGUCCCUAUCUUCCGUGGGCGCUGCAGAUUUGAGGAAGCCUGCUCCUAGUACGAGAGGACCGGAGUGGACACACCUCUGGUGUAUCGGUUGUCACGCCAGUGGCAUUGCCGAGUAGCUAUGUGUGGAAGAGAUAACCGCUGAAAGCAUCUAAGCGGGAAACUCGUUUCAAGAUGAGAUCUGCCGGGGCCUUGAGCCCCCUGAAGAGUCGUUCAAGACCAGGACGUUGAUAGGCAGGGUGUGGAAGC